AGGGCUAUAGCCAAGCGGUAAGGCAAAGGACUUUGACUCCUUGAUCGUUGGUUCAAAUCCAGCUAGCCCUGCCA
rnacentral:tRNA from 3 species